GCAGCCUUGGACUUCAUGGAGCUGAGUGCUGGGCUGAGAAAGAGGAGUGGAAGGAUCCAGCAGGGAGCCCUGGGGGCUGCUUUCCUGGAGUGACUUGGAGAAAGGCCAUGGAUGAAAUCCCUUCAUAGCAUCACUGGACAGGGUGCCUGGGGACAGAGAAGAUGGGGUGAGCUGUGGACAGUGCUGCCAGCUGUAGCCUUUGCUAAGUGAAAGUAUUAACUUGCUGCUUUUUAGUAUCUCUUUUUUGGCCAGAAAAUAACUGACUCAUGGUAGUCCUCCAUCACCCACUCUCUCCAACCAGCUGUCCCUUUAUCACAGCCCAUCCUUCCCCUGGGCUUUGGAACUGGGUCACUGAGUGGCAUCCAGCAGUGCUUGCUUCCCACUGCAAUUCAUAGAAAGCAGACAUAGCCCCUGGGUGCUUUUGGGCAGCUCAGCUUUGUCUUCUUGGUACCCAUCUCAGCCAGCCUGGAAAGGGGUGUUUGGAGGAGCAGGCACAACCCUCCGAGGGACCCAGGGCUCUGCCAGCAGCACUUCUCUGUAUCUCUGUCAUGCCAACAUUCAUGGCUUUGCUUCUUUGCU